GUCCCUGUAACGCAAUGGAUAGCGCGCGCGUUGGACUUCUAAUCCAAAGGUCGUGGGUUCGAAUCAUACCUGGGAUG